UNGUUUGUGCUCUAAAGUUAAUUUGUCAGC
rnacentral:piRNA from 1 species